rnacentral:rRNA from 1 species
UGGCGAACGGGUGAGUAACACGUGGGCAAUCUGCCCUUCACUCUGGGACAAGCCCUGGAAACGGGGUCUAAUACCGGAUAACACUCCUGCCUGCAUGGGCGGGGGUUGAAAGCUCCGGCGGUGAAGGAUGAGCCCGCGGCCUAUCAGCUUGUUGGUGGGGUAAUGGCCUACCAAGGCGACGACGGGUAGCCGGCCUGAGAGGGCGACCGGCCACACUGGGACUGAGACACGGCCCAGACUCCUACGGGAGGCAGCAGUGGGGAAUAUUGCACAAUGGGCGAAAGCCUGAUGCAGCGACGCCGCGUGAGGGAUGACGGCCUUCGGGUUGUAAACCUCUUUCAGCAGGGAAGAAGCGAAAGUGACGGUACCUGCAGAAGAAGCGCCGGCUAACUACGUGCCAGCAGCCGCGGUAAUACGUAGGGCGCAAGCGUUGUCCGGAAUUAUUGGGCGUAAAGAGCUCGUAGGCGGCUUGUCACGUCGGAUGUGAAAGCCCGGGGCUUAACCCCGGGUCUGCAUUCGAUACGGGCAGGCUAGAGUGUGGUAGGGGAGAUCGGAAUUCCUGGUGUAGCGGUGAAAUGCGCAGAUAUCAGGAGGAACACCGGUGGCGAAGGCGGAUCUCUGGGCCAUUACUGACGCUGAGGAGCGAAAGCGUGGGGAGCGAACAGGAUUAGAUACCCUGGUAGUCCACGCCGUAAACGUUGGGAACUAGGUGUUGGCGACAUUCCA